AUGACUGGAAUAAUGGUGAGCGCUUCAACCGGGGUGAUGAACUCUCUCCUGGGUAAGCUGGCCACCCUGAUGGGGGAGGAGUUCGCCAAGCUGAAGAACCUGAGGAAGGAGGUGAAGCACAUCAGCGAUGAGCUGAGCAGCAUGAAGGAUGCUCUAGAGAGCCUUGCAGAUGUGGAUACACUAGAUAAACAGACCGCUAGCUGGAGGGACGCGGUCAGGGAGAUGUCGUAUGACAUCGAGGAUAUUAUUGAUGACUUCAUGUGCAAAAUUGGGGAGAAAAGCAAAAAAACUGGUUUUAUCCACGACACCAUUCAACGCCUCAAAACUUCAAGGGCCCGCCAUCAGAUCGCUGGGAAGAUUGGGGACAUCAAGAAACUUGUGCGUGAAACAAGUGAGCGGCGUGAAAGAUAUAAGAUUGAUGUCCCCAAAUCGGGCAAUGUGGUAGUUGACCAACGCGUUGUGGCGCUCUAUGAAGAAUCAUCUAAACUUGUUGGUAUGGAUGGCCCAACCAAUAGGCUUGUCAGUUGGCUAAAAGAUGAGGAGAUGAUGUUGAAGAUUGUAUCAGUUAUUGGUUUUGGAGGUUUGGGAAAAACAACACUUGCCAAUCAGGUAUACCAUAAGCUGGAGGGUGAAUUUCAGUGUGGUGCAUUUUUGCCGGUGUCUCAAAAGCCAAAUAUGCCAAAACUUCUUCAUAGUUUAUUAACCCAACUUGGGUGUGGACAAUAUUGUCAUGACUGUGAGUUAAAUGUUCUUCUCAACCAAGUCAGAGAAAAUCUAAAAAACAAGAGGUACUUGGUUAUUAUCGAUGAUCUAUGGGAUGUAUCAGCAUGGAAUAUUAUUAAAUGUGCUUUCCCAGAAAAUAAUCUUGGUAGUAGAUUAAUAGUAACUACAAGAAUCAAGACUGUGGCUGGGGCAUGUUGUUUCAGUUACCAUGAGCACAUUCUUGAAAUGAAACCUCUUAGUGAAGAAGACUCAAGGAAAUUGUUUUUUGGUAGGAUAUUUUUCUCUGAAGAAGCUUGUCCAGGUCAACUCAGAGAUCUUUCAGUUGAGAUUCUCAAGAAGUGUGGUGGUUUGCCACUUGCAAUCAUUUGCAUAUCCAGCCUAUUGGCAAGUGAACGUUUCAACCAAAAGGAGAGGUGGAAACAUGUACUGAAUUCAUUGGGGUCUGUGUCAGGCACAAAUCUUACCUUGGAAGCAAUGAGACAGAUCUUGAACCUUAGCUACAAAAAUCUUCCUCACCACCUCAAGACAUGCUUCUUGUAUCUUGGUAUGUUUCUGGAGGACUCUGAAAAAUAUAGGCAUGAGUUGGUAAGCCUAUGGGUUUCUGAAGGCUUUGUUAGUAAAGCACAUGGACAAAAUCCAAAACAGAUUGCGAUAAGUUAUUUUAAUGAGCUUGUCAACAUGAGUCUUAUUCAACCUGCACAGGUUGACAUGCAUGGGUCAGUGUUAACUUGCAAAGUACAUGAUAUGUUGUUGGAUCUUAUCCUGUACAAGUCCGCGGAAGAGAAUUUUAUCACUGUAGUAGACAACCCAGAGGCCAUUACAGGACAGCUUCAAAAGCCCCGUCGGGUGCUCUUCAACUUGGAUGGUGCAACAUUACCAAGGGACGUUAAUAUGUCACAAGUGCGAUCAUUUGGAAACUGGAGAGGCUCCAUGAAUAUACCUUUUUUGGCAGAAUUCAAGUAUCUUCGAGUUUUUAUUGCUGACUUCAGUUCUAGUUCUGUUGAUGGCAACCGGAAAAUCGACCUGACAGGAUUGUGUAAGUUAUAUCAGCUGCGACAUAUACAGAUUGAAGGCUGUGAUAACUGCCAGCUACCAACGCAGAUUAGAGGGCUACAAAAGUUGGAAACAUUUGAUAUAGAUGGGUCCUGUAUCCCAAUGGAUAUUUUUCACCUGUCCUGUUUGUUGUCUCUGCAUAUUUUUCACCUGCCAUGUUUGUUGCCUGAGGGCAUUGGUAAAAUGACAUGCCUACAGCGUCUGAGAUGGUUUGACACACUGCACACCUCAAUCGACAGUAUCAAGGGCCUAGGAGAGCUUACCAAUCUGAGACUUCUGUACCUCACAACCGGUUUUUCUGAAGAUGUGGACAUGGAUGUUCUAAACUCUUCUUUGGCGAAACUUUGUAACCUCGACUCCCUGAACCUAUUUUCACCUGAUUCUUGGAUACCUGAGGCACUAACCUUGUCGCCUCCUCCCCCCAACCUCAUGGGACUCUCCAUGAUGCGAAUAUCCCGGGUCCCAAACUGGAUUGGGGAACUCCACAACCUCCAGAGCUUGCAUAUCACUGUUGAUAAGCUAGACAAGGAUGAUGUUGGUAUUCUUGCAGGGUUACCCGCCCUCAUGGACCUAGAAUUAACGUUCAGUAGAGCCCUGGAAGAAACAAUUGUCAUCUAUGGGACAACAUUCGCAAUCCUGAAGCGGUUUGUUGUCUACUGGACUGUCAUGCCACAACUGACCUUCCAAGCCGGAGCAAUGCCUAAGCUCCAGAGCCUCUCUCUACCUUUGAACGCCAGGGGGUGGAAGCAGGACGAGAGCGCCACACCUACAGGCAUCGAGCACUUGUUAGCACUUGAAAGAAUCUCUGUGGGGAUUGCGAGUGGUACUGAAUCUGAACAGCGAAGCGCAGAGUCUGCCAUUAGGAGCGCUAUCAACAUGCAUCCCGGCCUUGCUCACAUUAAAGUCGAUAUCCAAUGUUACUAA
rnacentral:rRNA from 1 species